UACGGAGGGUGCAAGCAUUGAUCGGAAUUACUGGGCGUAAAGGGCGCGUAGGCGGCUGGGAAAGUCGGGUGUGAAAUUCCAAGGCUCAACCUUGGAGCAGCACACGAAACUGUCCAGCUAGAGUGCAGUUAGGGAAAACGGAAUUCCACAUGUAGCGGUGAAAUGCGUAGAUAUGUGGAGGAACACCGGUGGUGAAGACGGUUUUCUGGGCUGUAACAGACGCUGAGGCGCGAAAGCAUGGGGAGCAAACAGG
rnacentral:rRNA from 1 species